GGUGUAAAAUCCUUUCGGCAGGGGCGAAACCCGAGCAAUCGGGCCGACGGUACCUGAAGAAGAAGCCCCGGCUAACUCCGUGC
rnacentral:rRNA from 1 species